AUUGUGACAUGUUAAACAAAAAAGCCCAACGGGUAUGCGCCGCCGGGCGUUAAUGACAGAG
rnacentral:sRNA from 26 species